AUACGUAGGGGGCGAGCGUUGUCCGGAAUUACUGGGCGUAAAGGGUGCGUAGGUGGCACUUUAAGUUGGAUGUGAAAUCCCCGUGCUUAACAUGGGAGCUGCAUCCAAUACUGGAGAGCUAGAGUGCAGGAGAGGUAAGCGGAAUUCCUAGUGUAGCGGUGAAAUGCGUAGAUAUUAGGAGGAACACCAGUGGCGAAGGCGGCUUACUGGACUGUAACUGACACUGAGGCACGAAAGCGUGGGGAGCAAACAGGAUUAGAUACCCUGGCAGUCCACGCUGUAAACGAUGAAUACUAGGUGUAGGGGGUAUCAACUCCCUCUGUGCCGCAGCAAACGCAAUAAGUAUUCCGCCUGGGGAGUACGGCCGCAAGGUUGAAACUCAAAUGAAUUGACGGGG
rnacentral:rRNA from 1 species